GCCAGCAUGGUGUAGUGGUUUGAGCAUUGCAUUAUGACUCUGGAGAUCAGAGUUCGAUUCCCUGUUCGGGCA